rnacentral:misc_RNA from 1 species
CCGAGUUUACAACUCCCAAACCCUUUGUGAACCUUACCUACCGUUGCUUCGGCGGGGACGACGCCGCUCGCGGCGCCCGCCGGGGGACCCAAACCCUCAUGUUUUCCGUCCGCGGAUUUCUCCUCUGAGUGGCACAUAAACAAAUAAAUAA